rnacentral:rRNA from 1 species
CCUACGGGAGGCAGCAGUGAGGAAUAUUGGUCAAUGGGCGAGAGCCUGAACCAGCCAAGUCGCGUGAGGGAGUACUGCCCUAUGGGUUGUAAACCUCUUUUGUCGGGGAGCAAAAGCCGGACGUUUCCGGCUGUGAGAGUACCCGAAGAAAAAGCAUCGGCAAACUCCGUGCCAGCAGCCGCGGUAAUACGGAGGAUGCGAGCGUUAUCCGGAUUUAUUGGGUUUAAAGGGUGCGCAGGCGGAUUUUUAAGUCAGCGGUAAAAUCGUGGGGCUCAACCCCAUCCAGCCGUUGAAACUGGGGAUCUAGAGUGUGCGAGAGGUAUGCGGAAUGCGUGGUGUAGCGGUGAAAUGCAUAGAUAUCACGCAGAACCCCGAUUGCGAAGGCAGCAUACCGGUGCACAACUGACGCUCAGGCACGAAAGCGUGGGUAUCGAACAGGAUUAGAUACCCCAGUAGUC